ACAACUGAAGUUAGGGGAGAGGGAUGAGCUACGAUAGCCCAGUGAGUAGAAUAGGCAAAUAUAGGUGAUAAAACAUGCUCUCAUGGAAUGCAACACAUAAUCACAUAACCUCGGCCGGACGGAUCAAAACUCCCUCUAUCUCAUCUGGGGUACCUAAGUACCAUUUGCCUGGUCCCCGUAGGGCUGUUCCAGGUCUUUGUGUAUGUGCCUGGUCCCCGUAGGGCUGUUCCAGGUCUUUCCUCUGAGGGCUAAUGAAUCCUCACGAAGUCCGUGCCGUCUCACAUAAGCAAUGUACAAGGAGCCAUGCCAAG
rnacentral:lncRNA from 1 species